UUUUUUUCCUUCGCUGUUUUUUUGUUUAGAUGUUUAGAUGUUGCUUAGACAUUUGGAAUAUGAUAUCGAACAGUUUACAGAGGCGGAUUUAGGGGGGGGGGGGGGCCCUUUUUGGGAAAAAAAUUGGUUGCUUAUAUAGGGAAUCACUGAAGCGUGACUGGAGCGGGCCCCCUCUUAGGUAAGUCAGUGGGCCCCCACUUAUGAAAAUUUCUGGAUCCGCCACUGGUUUAUACGCUUUUAAAACUUACACCGCUUAACCGAAUACUUUCCAAUAUAAGAGUUAUCUCCCCGAACACUGUUUUUCUUGUGAUCUCUAAGGCUUCGCAACCGUAUAAGAAACCGACAAAUUUAUUUUAUCAAAUUCCUCGUUAUAUCCUCAGGAUGUUCUGUUUUAUUUUGACCGAAGCCGUAUAUAGAUUCCAUAUGAGAGUUUUCCCCCCUUUUAUGUUUGAUAUAAGUAAUAUGCAUUUUUAACUGUUAAACCAUAAGUGAUAGAGACCUAGGGUCUUCAGAUUUGAGGUCCUUGGUCCAAAAAAAUGAAAAUGAGGUCAAGGUCAAAGGUCAAGGUCAUGUUCAAAAUUGAUUUUUGCUUAUUUUCACUGAUUUUCAGAUACCGUAUGACAUAUCGACAAAUAAUUUUUCAUAAAUUGUUAGUUGCGAUGUCCUUACUUGUAUAUUUUAGUUGAAAGGGUGUGCACACAAUAAAUGGGAGCUUUUGCCCAUCUUAGAUUUAGAAUUACACGUAAAGUGAUAUUACUCUCUAACCAAACAUAUUCAAGACCUCGGGUCUUUUGAUUUAAGGUCCUUGGUUCGUGACCUUGAAAUUGAGGUCAAGGUCAUAGGUUAAUAGGACGUUCUAGAUUUUGACCUUUGCUUUAAAUUCAUAUUUAUACAUCAUGAAGCCAUAGGAACUAACAUUUUAAACUGAUUUUUCAUAUUUCAAUAUCAAAAUAGAUCUUUACUAAUGGAAAGACCUUCAAUUGUUCUCUGAAUAAUUGGUUUUUAAUUAUAGUUUAUUUUUGUUAGGGGGUAGGUCACGGUUAAAAAUCAUGGAAUGUAUCCGUUCGAUUUAUUUUGUUUCAAAGAUAAAAUGUAAAUUACACUGUUCUUAACAAAACAUACAUAAGGGAGCAGCCAUUGAACUUCAAACAGGGGGAGGGGGUAUGGUUUUUUGUUUAAGUCAGACAAUUUUAUUUAGUGUUUCAUCGCUAUCAAUACCAUAAAUAUCCCCUUUUUAGCUCACCUGACCUGAAAGGUCUAGUGAGCUUUUCUCAUCACUUGGCGUCCGUCGUCCGUCGUCCGUAAACUUUUACAAAAUCUUCUCCUCUGAGACUACUGGGCCAAAUGUAACCAAACUUGGCCACAAUCAUCCUUGGGGUAUCUAGUUUAAAAAAUGUGUCCGAUGACAUGGCCAUCAAAACAAGAUGGCCGCCAUGGCUAAAAAUAGAACACAGGGGUAAAAUGUAUAUUUUGGCUUAUAUCUUUAAAACGAAAGCAUUUAGAGGAAAUCUGACAAGGGGUUAAAUUGUUGAUCAGUUCAAGAUCUAUCUGCCCUGAAAUUUUCAGACGAAUCGGACAACCUAUUGUUGGGUUGCUGCCCCUGAAUUGGUAAUUUUAAGGAAUUUUGCAGUUUUUGGUUAUUAUCUUGAAUACUAUUAUAGAUAGAGAUAAACUGUAAACAGCAAUAAUGUUCAGCAAAAUAAGACCUACAAAUAAGUCAACAUGACCAAAAUUGUCAGUCAACCCCUUAAGGAGUUAUUGCCCUUUGUAGUCAAUUUUAACAACUUUUUGGUCAUUUUUUGUAACUUGUACAAAAAUCUUCUUCUCUAAAACUACUGGGCAAAAUUUAAACUAGCUUGGCCACAAUCAUAAUUGUGGUAUAUUGUUUUAAAAAUGUGUCCGAUGACCCCACCUACCAAACAAAAUGGCCGACAUGGCUAAAAUUAGGACAUAGUGGUAAAAUGCAGUUUUUGCUUUAUAUCUUUGAAACUAAGACAUUUAGGGCAAAUCUAAAUAAAAAUCGGUCAUAUAAUAAUUCAGCAAUAUUUCUUUUUAUAAGGAUUUUAGUUGAAAUGUUGUUUUU
rnacentral:lncRNA from 1 species